UCUGGUUGAUCCUGCCAGUAGUCUUAUGCUGUGCUCUCAAGAUUAAGCCAUGCGAUGUUGUAAGCUAUGAACUAAUUCAGACUGGAAACUGCGAAUUGGCUCAUGAAAUAGUUAUAGUGUUUGUUCUGAGUGGUAUCUGCACUCCGUAUAACCGUAGUAAUUUCCUAGGGCUAAUACGUGCAGACUAAAUCCCACUUCGUGGAAGGGAUGCAUUUGUAUUAGAAUAAAAGGUUCGACGGCGGCGGGCUCUGCCCGUUGCUCUGCAUAUUCAUGAUAACUUCGACUGGAUUCGCACGGCGCAUUGCGUGCCGGCGGUGACACGGCAUCAUUCAAAGUUGUCUGCCCUAUCAACUUUCGAUGGGGUAGGAUACGAGGCCUUACAACUGUGGUGGUGACGUGACGCGAAUGAGAUUUAGGGUUUCGAUUUCCGAGGAGCUGAGAAGCGGUUUACCGGACAUCCAAGGAAGGCAGCAGGGUCGCGCAAGAUUACUCCAAGUCCUGACACGGGGGAGGAGUGACAAUAAAGUGAACAAUCACCGGGCUUUCUUCGAGUCUGGUAAUUGGAAUGAGUACAUGUAUCUAAAUCCUCUAACGCGAGGAUGCCUAUUGGAGGUGCAAGUCUUGGUGCCCAAGCAGGCCGCGGUUCCAGCUUCCAAUAAGCGUAUAUUUAAGUUGUUGUCGUUAAAGAAGCUCGUAGUUGGAUCCUUGUGUUGGGUCGAUCGGUCCGCCUGCGCGGUGUGUGCACCUGUCGGCGUCGUCCCGCUUCUCUGCCGGCGAUGCGCUCCGUCUGGCCGUUUAACUGGUCCGGGUCGUGCCUCCGGCCGCUGUUACUUUUGAAGAAUAUUUAGAGGUGCUCAAUAGCAUAGCGCUCACCUCUGGAUCAGCAUAGUAGCAUGGAUAACAUAAUAGGAUUUUCCGGUCCUCAUGGUGUUGGCCUUCGGGAUCGGAGUAGAUGAUUAACUAUGGGAAGUCGGGGGCAGUUGCCGUAUUUUCAUAGUCCGAGCGUUUGAAUUCUUGGAUUUAUGAAAGAGCGAACAACUGGAAAGCAUGUUGCGCAAGGAUGUUUUCUUAAUAAGAACGCAAGUUCGGGCGGCUCGAAGACGAUUAGUACCUGUCCUUAGUGCUCACAGCAUGAAACGAUGUGGACAGCGGAUCGGCGGAUUUGCUUUUAGGUGAACUCCGCCGGCGACCUAAACUGAGAAUAAAGUCUUGGGUUCGCUGGGGGGAGUAAUGGUCGCAAGGUGAAACUUAAUGAAGGUAAUUUCGAUCGAAGGCAUGCACAGGAGUGGAGCGCUGCGGUUAUAUUUGACUCGAACACGGGAACUUACCAGGAUCCAACAGUAGUAAGGUGAUUGACACGAUCUGAGAGCUCUUUCUUGAUUCUAUGGGUGGUGUGUGCAUGGCCCGUUUCUUAUUUGGUGGGAGCGAUUUUGUCUGGUUAAUUCCGUUAAGCGAACGAGACCUCAGCCUCGCUAACUAGCUAUGCGGAGGGUGACCCCCGCGGGCCAGCUGUCUUAUCGUAGGGAACUAUGCCUUUUAGCCAAGGAAGUUUGAGGGCAAUAUACAGUGCUGUGAUGCCCUUGAGAUGUUCUGGGCCGCACGGCGCGCUAUUCGCGAGUACUUCAACGCAGUCCUAAUAGCCUUGCCGAGCAGGCGCCGGGUAAUCUGUUUGAAAUUUCAUCGUGAUGGGAUAGAGUCAUUUGCAUGUUUGGUCUUCAACGUAGGAAUUCUAGUAAGCGCGAGUCAUCAGCUGCGUUGACUACGUCCUGCCCUUUGUACACACCGCCGUGCGCUCCUACCGAUUGAAUGGUCCCGGUAAGUGUUCGAUCGCGGCUGAGUCGUGGGCGUCGCCGCCGGGCGACUGGUCGGCGAGAAUGUCCACUGAACGCUUAUCAUUAGAGGAAGGAGAAGUCGUAACAGAGCGUUUCUGUAGGUGAACCUGCGGAAG
rnacentral:rRNA from 1 species